CAAACUGAAGAUGGCGACCGGCGCACGGGUGAGUAACACGUAUCCAACCUGCCGAUAACUCCGGAAUAGCCUUUCGAAAGAAAGAUUAAUACCGGAUGGCAUACGAAUAUCGCAUGAUAUUUUUAUUUAAAGAAUUUCGGUUAUCGAUGGGGAUGCGUUCCAUUAGUUUGUUGGCGGGGUAACGGCCCACCAAGACUACGAUGGAUAGGGGUUCUGAGAGGAAGGGGGUCCCCCCACAUUGGAACUGAGACACGGUCCAAACUCCUACGGGAGGCAGCAUG
rnacentral:rRNA from 1 species